UUACUUACAAAAUAGAACCAGAGCAAAUAUCAGAUGCAAAAAUUUCAUUUUCUCUCUUCAACUUUUCCCUCCCUCUCUCAUACGAUAUCGGUAGCAGAUGGAAGAGCUAAGGCAAAGGCCAACGGAAGGUCUCCAUAGCAAACGGAUCGAAAGGUAAAGCUCCAUAACUUUAUUGGGUUUCUAAUUUUUGUUUGUCGCGUUAAAAAUCUAGGGUUUGUUCUUUACUUUUUGACCCUUAAAGAGUGUCUCAUCUUCAUCGCUGGGAGAGUCAGUGGCAUCGGCGUCGAUAACAGAUAUUUGUAUAACUCGUGGCCCAUCGGUAUUCAGUUCGAUCAUCUUCGUCUUCUUUCCGGAGAUACCUUCCGUCGUCGUAGUUUGUAUUUUGUGCUCACUAUACUUGAUCGCAGAAUACAUAGCUCCUCUUUCCAUUUGCUCUUAAUUUCCUAAAGAUUAAUUUAUGAGAUUGGCUUUGAAAGCUAAAAGGAGAGACACGAGAGUGAAAUUUUGGGUGUGUAAAAAAGAGGAGAUUUCUUGGCCUCGAGGAAGAAUGAAGAGAAGGAAAAUCUUAGGAAAUUGUAAAUUGUAAUUGUAAUUGGCUAAAUUAUAGUGUAUUAAUUGGGUAAAAAUCUAGGGUUUGUACCCUACUGCCAUUUUACCCAAUAGAUUGCAGAAGAUGACAUGUAUGGUAAGGAGAUAUCCAGUACUUGUAGAUAAUUGAUAAGAAAAUGGGUAGUUUCUUAAGUAGUCCUUAUGCAACGAAUCAUAUGCUUUCAUUAAAUUAAGGCACAUUUAGGUUGUCUUGAUCUUUAUAGUGAUUCUUAAAUCAAUGUUUAAGGCACAUUUAGCUUCAUAUUUGACAAAUAUGGAGAAGUUUGUUAUUUUAAGCAGGAACGGUACAUUUUUAACUUUUCUAUAGACUAGACUAGCAGCAGAAUCAAUCAAUAGUUUUACAUACUUCAAUACUAAAUGGAUCAUGCUGCAUUUGCGAUAUUUCUUAACUGUCUGAUGCUUGAAAGUCCUUAUGAUCUUGUAUUCCCUAAAUAUAAACUUUUUGUAAUUAUCCAUUUAUUGCAAUUGUUUGAUUUGUUUGACAUAAAGUGUAACAUAUUGCAGUUGAAUUUGAUUUUCUUUGAUAUUAUGAUAUAUCGAAGUGAUUAAUGAAACGAACUUCCAUAUUGAAGGGAAAUAACUCAAGCAUUUCCAAGCUUUGUGUUGAAUACUGAUGUUAGUGAUUCAGAAUUACAUUCGUAUGGGAUUACCAGAUAGUACCAACCUUUAAUUUCUUGCAAGUUCAUGGGGUAGCACAUUGUAGUGUGCAGACCAGACCACACAUUAUCUGCCAGGAUUGCAUUCACAACAUUAGUUGGAUGAAAUUGAUCCCACCAGAUAUGAUUGGAAGCAUUACUACAAGCCAUUUCAGGCGUCAUGCACAUGAUUAAACCCUUAUACCUACCUAAACCACAACAAGCGGAUAGUGGGAGAGAUGGCAGAGGAAGGGGCAGAAAUGAGGAUAGUGGUCGUUCUAGGAAUAAUGAUUAUGGCAGGUUGUGAUGGGAUAAUAUUGUUUGCUCAUUGUUUUUGCUUUAAUUGUUGCAAUUUUCUCAAUGAUUCGAAGGAAAUGAAUAUUUUAGGCUAAUAGGAUAUUGAUUGUACAAAUUAGCUGUAAGCUUAUGCAUUUUUUAUGUUCGAGAGAAAAUCCAAACUAUGUAUGUAAAUGAUGUUGUACAGUAGUUUACUUUAGCUGGUGAGGCUUACAUCCAGCAUGUGAUAUAUUCUUCUUUUCCAAUUAGUUAUCAAAAACUUGUAUUAUGCUUAUUUUCCAAUUGCCCGAGCAUGGCUAUUGUUGUUUUGGAUAUUCUUUUUAAAAGGAUUGCUAUUUUAUCUCUAUUUCAGCCAUAGAAGCAGGUGUAGUUGUAUCUGAGCGGCUGG
rnacentral:lncRNA from 1 species